UAAGGAAUAUUGGUCAAUGGACGCAAGUCUGAACCAGCCAUGCCGCGUGGAGGAUGAAGGUCCUCUGGAUUGUAAACUUCUUUUAUCUGGGACGAAACACUUCUUUUCUAAGAGGCCUGACGGUACCAGAUGAAUAAGCACCGGCUAACUCCGUGCCAGCAGCCGCGGUAAUACGGAGGGUGCAAGCGUUAUCCGGAUUCACUGGGUUUAAAGGGUGCGUAGGUGGGUAUGUAAGUCAGUGGUGAAAUCCCCGAGCUUAACUUGGGAACUGCCAUUGAUACUAUAUAUCUUGAAUACCGUAGAGGUAAGCGGAAUAUGUCAUGUAGCGGUGAAAUGCUUAGAUAUGACAUGGAACACCAAUUGCGAAGGCAGCUUACUAUGCGGUGAUUGACACUGAGGCACGAAAGCGUGGGGAUCAAACA
rnacentral:rRNA from 1 species